rnacentral:rRNA from 1 species
AGAGUUUGAUCCUGGCUCAGAACGAACGUUAGCGGCGCGCCUAACACAUGCAAGUCGCACGAGAAAGGGCUUCGGCCCCGGUAAAGUGGCGCACGGGUGAGUAACACGUGGGUAAUCUGCCCUCGAGCGGGGGAUAACAUUCCGAAAGGAGUGCUAAUACCGCAUAAGACCACGACCUCGAAAGAGGAUGCGGUCAAAGCUGGCCUCUAUACAUAAGCUAGCACUCGAGGAUGAGCCCGCGGCGCAUCAGCUAGUUGGUGAGGUAAUGGCUCACCAAGGCUAAGACGCGUAGCUGGUCUGAGAGGAUGAUCAGCCACACUGGAACUGAGACACGGUCCAGACUCCUACGGGAGGCAGCAGUGGGGAAUCUUGCGCAAUGGGCGAAAGCCUGACGCAGCGACGCCGCGUGAGUGAUGAAGGCCUUCGGGUUGUAAAGCUCUGUGGGGAGAGAAGAAUUAGUGCAGCCCAAUACGCUGCAUGAUGACGGUAUCUCCUUAGCAAGCACCGGCUAACUCUGUGCCAGCAGCCGCGGUAAGACAGAGGGUGCAAACGUUGUUCGGAAUUACUGGGCGUAAAGCGAGUGUAGGCGGUCUGAAAAGUCAGGUGUGAAAGCCCUGGGCUCAACCCAGGAAGUGCACUUGAAACUGCCAGGCUAGAGUAUCGGAGAGGUUGGUGGAAUUCUCGGUGUAGAGGUGAAAUUCGUAGAUAUCGAGAGGAACACCGGUGGCGAAGGCGGCCAACUGGACGAAUACUGACGCUGAGACUCGAAAGCGUGGGGAGCAAACAGGAUUAGAUACCCUAGUAGUCC